UGGCGACCGGCGCACGGGUGAGUAACACGUAUCCAACCUGCCGAUGACUCGGGGAUAGCCUUUCGAAAGAAAGAUUAAUACCCGAUAGCAUAAUGAUUCCGCAUGGUUUCAUUAUUAAAGGAUUCCGGUAAAGGAUGGGGAUGCGUUCCAUUAGGUUGUUGGUGAGGUAACGGCUCACCAAGCCUUCGAUGGAUAGGGGUUCUGAGAGGAAGGUCCCCCACAUUGGAACUGAGACACGGUCCAAACUCCUACGGGAGGCAGCAUG
rnacentral:rRNA from 1 species